rnacentral:rRNA from 1 species
AUUGAACGCUGGCGGCAGGCCUAACACAUUCAAGUCGAGCGGUAGAGAGAAGCUUGCUUCUCUUGAGAGCGGCGGACGGGUGAGUAAUGCCUAGGAAUCUGCCUGGUAGUGGGGGAUAACGUUCGGAAACGGACGCUAAUACCGCAUACGUCCUACGGGAGAAAGCAGGGGACCUUCGGGCCUUGCGCUAUCAGAUGAGCCUAGGUCGGAUUAGCUAGUUGGUGGGGUAAUGGCUCACCAAGGCGACGAUCCGUAACUGGUCUGAGAGGAUGAUCAGUCACACUGGAACUGAGACACGGUCCAGACUCCUACGGGAGGCAGCAGUGGGGAAUAUUGGACAAUGGGCGAAAGCCUGAUCCAGCCAUGCCGCGUGUGUGAAGAAGGUCUUCGGAUUUUAAAGCACUUUAAGUUGGGAGGAAGGGCAGUAAAUUAAUACUUUGCUGUUUUGACGUUACCGACAGAAUAAGCACCGGCUAACUCUGUG